AUUUUAAAGCCUUAUUAAUUACAUUUCACAAGUAAUUAAAAUUUAAAGCACGUUUACUUAACAAACUCUGCUAUUUAAACCUUAGUCCAACUUAGCCAGCUAAGUUGAUUUGAGCAAGCGGAAGGAUCCAACCAAUAAAUUCAAUCAAUCGACUUCAAUUUUUAUUUCAAUUUUAGUUAUUGUCUUCAUUUUAACAAACCAUUUUUUUUUCGAAAAUCAUAAAACAAUUACUUGUCAAUACAUUUUAAAGCCUUAUUAGUUACAUUUCACAAUCAAUUUAAAUUUAAAGCACGUUUACUUAACAAACUAUGCUAUUUAAACUUUAGUCCAACUUAGCCAGCUAAGUUGAUUUGAGGAAGUGGAAGGACCCAACCAAUAAAUUCAAUCAAUCAACUUCAAUUUUUAUUUCAAUUUCAGUUAUUGUCUUCAUUUUCACAAACGCUUUUUUUUUUCGAAAAUCACAAAACAAUUACUUGUCAAUACAUAUUAAAGCCUUAUUAAUUACAUUUCACAAGCAAUUUAGAUUUAAGGCACGUUUACUUAACAAACUCUGCUAUUUAAACUUUAGUUCAGCUUAGCUAGCUAAGUUGAUUUUCCAAGCAAAUAAUAUAAUUAAUAAGGGCCAAUUUGAAGAGAAUUAAAGGCAUCCAGCUAGUGAAAAUGGAAGGCGUCUUUGAAUAUCGUAGAGCCACAGGUCCAGCCACAAUUCUAGCUAUUGGUACUGCAAAUCCACCAAACUUUAUCUACCAAGCAAACUAUCCAGACUUCUACUUUGAAGUCACUCAAAGCGAGCACCUGAAAGAAUUAAAGGAGAAGUUCAAACGUAUUUGUAAGUAUAAAUCACUACGUUAAUUCAUUAAUCUCUGUAACUUAUUACUCAAUAAAUGAUCAAAUCAUUCCUGAUAACCUAUUUGAUUUCGUUUGUUUUCUGUUGAUAUAAGAUAUGAUUUAUCUUUCCAUAUUUUUGGUAACAGGUCAAAAAUCAGAGAUAAAGAAACGUUAUAUGUAACUGACUGAAGACAUUAUCCAGAAGAACCCCAGCAUAGCAACUUACAAGGCUCCAUCUCUUGAUGCACGUCAAGAAAUUUUAGUUCAUGAAGUUCCCACGCUAGGUGAAGAGGCAGCUACGAAGGCUAUACAAGAAUGGGGCCAACCUAUAUCGAAGAUUACACAUCUUAUAUUUUGCACAUCUUCAGGUGUAAAUAUGCCUGGUGCAGAUCUUGAGCUUGUCAAGCUUCUUGGACUUCAAAAUUCUGUGCAAAGAUUCAUGAUGUAUC
rnacentral:lncRNA from 1 species